GGGAAGGAAACUUCAUAUUAAAAGCCCUGUAUAAAAUGCACUCUUUACUGCAUUGAGUUUUCGUGGCUGCCUGUUAGUUUGUGUGUCUAAACGGAACAUCUGCAUGGAAGUGACUUCUAGGAACCUGCCCCCAUGACCCUGCAAACUGUACCUCUGCCGCCAUUUUCUGGGGACCCCGGAGUGGUUCUGGGCAAAAUCCUUCAUCCUGGCUGAAUGAAAAAGAAAAAGAAAACAAGACUGGUCCUGGUUUUUGGCACCAUGUGUAUGAG
rnacentral:lncRNA from 1 species